GUCUGGUUGGGCGUGUGGGCCAGGGCCCUUGCAAUCAGGCUUUGAAGGCAUCAUUCUUCCCACCCCGGGAGAGCCUGCAACUCAGGAAAGCCCAUGACUUCUGGAUCUUUGUUCCCCAAUCAGAGAUUGAACCCAGUGGAAGCAUGGAGCCUCAAACCACUGAUCUGCCAGAGCAGCCCCCAAUGAGUCUAUUUAAAGCAUAGCUUUGGUCACCAAGUGUCGAUGACCUUCCUCUCCAAUCAUCUCCUCGAGGGGGCCCUCAGGUCUCUGACUCCGUCUGCUCAUCCUUCCUCCGUGGUUCCUCGGCCCCCACACUUGGUCCACCCCUGAGACCUGUCUGCCUCCUGAAGCUGCCUGUUUCCACCUGUUCCCCGGGGCCUCCGUCCUAUUUCAAGCCGAUGGACAGCCAGCCACACGGGUCUCCCCGUUGGCCCUCUGCUUCCACUCAUGUCCUUGUUGCUGUGUGCUUGCCCUGGUGGACCUGCUGAUCA